AUUGAACGCUGGCGGCAGGCCUAGCACAUGCAAGUCGAGCGGAUGAAGGGAGCUUGCUCCUGGAUUCAGCGGCGGACGGGUGAGUAAUGCCUAGGAAUCUGCCUGGUAGUGGGGGAUAACGUCCGGAAACGGGCGCUAAUACCGCAUACGUCCUGAGGGAGAAAGUGGGGGUUCUUCGGACCUCACGCUAUCAGAUGAGCCUAGGUCGGAUUAGCUAGUUGGUGGGGUAAAGGCCUACCAAGGCGACGAUCCGUAACUGGUCUGAGAGGAUGAUCAGUCACACUGGAACUGAGACACGGUCCAGACUCCUACGGGAGGCAGCAGUGGGGAAUAUUGGACAAUGGGCGAAAGCCUGAUCCAGCCAUGCCGCGUGUGUGAAGAAGGUCUUCGGAUUGUAAAGCACUUUAAGUUGGGAGGAAGGGCAGUAAGUUAAUACCUUGCUGUUUUGACGUUACCAACAGAAUAAGCACCGGCUAACUUCGUG
rnacentral:rRNA from 1 species